GACGAACGCUGGCGGCGUGCCUAAUACAUGCAAGUCGAGCGAGCUUGCCUAGAUGAUUUUGGUGCUUGCACUAAAUGAAACUAGAUACAAGCGAGCGGCGGACGGGUGAGUAACACGUGGGUAACCUGCCCAAGAGACUGGGAUAACACCUGGAAACAGAUGCUAAUACCGGAUAACAACACUAGACGCAUGUCUAGAGUUUGAAAGAUGGUUCUGCUAUCACUCUUGGAUGGACCUGCGGUGCAUAAGCUAGUUGGUAAGGUAACGGCUUACCAAGGCAAUGAUGCAUAGCCGAGUUGAGAGACUGAUCGGCCACAUUGGGACUGAGACACGGCCCAAACUCCUACGGGAGGCAGCAGUAGGGAAUUUUCCACAAUGGACGAAAGUCUGAUGGAGCAACGCCGCGUGAGUGAAGAAGGGUUUCGGCUCGUAAAGCUCUGUUGGUAGUGAAGAAAGAUAGAGGUAGUAACUGGCCUUUAUUUGACGGU
rnacentral:rRNA from 1 species